UCCUACGGGACGCAGCAGUAGGGAAUCUUCCACAAUGGACGAAAGUCUGAUGGAGCAACGCCGCGUGGGUGAAGAAGGGUUUCGGCUCGUAAAGCUCUGUUGGUAGUGAAGAAAGAUAGAGGUAGUAACUGGCCUUUAUUUGACGGUAAUUACUUAGAAAGUCACGGCUAACUACGUGCCAGCAGCCGCGGUAAUACGUAGGUGGCAAGCGUUGUCCGGAUUUAUUGGGCGUAAAGGGAGUGCAGGGGGUUUAAUAAGUGUG
rnacentral:rRNA from 1 species